AUUUUUUUUGCUAAUAUUUUGGUGCACUCACUGGUGGCUGAAAAAUCUGUUAAUUUGGUGGCAGUCUGUUGAUUUGGUGCACUCACAACAACAUAUGAAGUGACAUUUUAUCCGGUUCUAUUGUAGGAGUGGUAUUUCAUCAAAGCCACGCAAACUGAGUGGCAUAUUGUCCGUUUUCUCAACACCUUGGUGGGAAAGGAACAAGAUUUGCCCGCCGGAGGACGGAGUCAACCGCCUCCGCCUCUGCGCAGGAAUGACGACGACGACACCUCACCGCCUCCGCCUCCGGGAUGCGGCGG
rnacentral:lncRNA from 1 species